CAGAGGUCCCGAGCGUUGUUUGGAUUCACUGGGCGUAAAGGGUGCGUAGGUGGCUUGAAAAGUUUGAUGUGAAAGCUCAGGGCUUAACCCUGAAAUGGCAUUGAAUACUGUCGGGCUGGAGGUUUGGAGGGGGGACUGGAAUUCUUGGUGUAGCAGUGAAAUGCGUAGAUAUCAAGAGGAACACCAGUGGCGAAGGUGAGUCCCUGGACAACACCUGACACUGAGGCACGAAAGCUAGGGGAGCAAACAGGAUUAGAUACCCUGGUAGUCCUAGCCCUAAACGGUGCAUGUUUGCUGUAAAAGGAAUCGACCCCUUUUGUGGCGAAGCUAACGCGAUAAACAUGCCGCCUGGGGAGUACGGUCGCAAGAUUA
rnacentral:rRNA from 1 species